GACGAACGCUGGCGGCGUGCUUAACACAUGCAAGUCGAACGGAAAGGCCCUGCUUUUGUGGGGUGCUCGAGUGGCGAACGGGUGAGUAACACGUGAGUAACCUGCCCUUGACUUUGGGAUAACUUCAGGAAACUGGGGCUAAUACCGGAUAGGAGCUCCUGCUGCAUGGUGGGGGUUGGAAAGUUUCGGCGGUUGGGGAUGGACUCGCGGCUUAUCAGCUUGUUGGUGGGGUAGUGGCUUACCAAGGCUUUGACGGGUAGCCGGCCUGAGAGGGUGACCGGCCACAUUGGGACUGAGAUACGGCCCAGACUCCUACGGGAGGCAGCAGUGGGGAAUAUUGCACAAUGGGCGGAAGCCUGAUGCAGCAACGCCGCGUGCGGGAUGACGGCCUUCGGGUUGUAAACCGCGUUCGCCUGUGACGAAGCGUGAGUGACGGUAAUGGGUAAAGAAGCACCGGCUAGCUACGUG
rnacentral:rRNA from 1 species